UCAAAAGACAGAACAGAUGGACACAUGCC
rnacentral:piRNA from 1 species